CCAGCCUGCCAGUGACAAAUUCAACGGCCACGGUAUCCUAACCGUGCAAAGGUAGCAUAAUCACUUGUUCUUUAAAUAAGGACUAGUAUCAACGGCAUCACGAGAGUCACACUGUCUCCUUUCCCCAAUCAGUGAAACUGAUCUCCCCGUGAAGAAGCGGGGAUAAAACUAUAAGACGAGAAGACCCCAUGGAGCUUUAAACCCUAAGCAACCCAAUCCAAUACCCCCAUUACAAACGCAAAGCCUUGCUCAACGGUUUUAGGUUGGGGUGACCACGGAGUAAAAACCAACCUCCAAGACGAAAAGAACUAAACCUUUAUCCAAGAGAUACCCCUCUAAGAAUUAGAAUACUAACGUAUAAUGACCCAACAAUGAUCAACGAACCAAGUUACCCUGGGGAUAACAGCGCAAUCUACUUCAAGAGCCCAUAUCGACAAGUAGGCUUACGACCUCGAUGUUGGAUCAGGAUAUCCCAGUGGUGCAGUCACUACUGACGGUU
rnacentral:rRNA from 1 species